UACGUAGGGUGCAAGCGUUGUCCGGAAUUAUUGGGCGUAAAGAGCUCGUAGGCGGUCUGUUGCGUCGGCUGUGAAAACCCGGGGCUCAACUCCGGGCCUGCAGCCGAUACGGGCAGACUAGAGUUCGGCAGGGGAGACUGGAAUUCCUGGUGUAGCGGUGAAAUGCGCAGAUAUCAGGAGGAACACCGGUGGCGAAGGCGGGUCUCUGGGCCGAUACUGACGCUGAGGAGCGAAAGCGUGGGGAGCAAACGGG
rnacentral:rRNA from 1 species